rnacentral:rRNA from 1 species
UGAUAGAAAUUUAAACACUUUUUAAAGUAUCAAUUGGAGGGCAAGUCUGGUGCCAGCAGCCGCGGUAAUUCCAGCUCCAAUAGCGUAUAUUAAAAUUGUUGCAGUUAAAAAGCUCGUAGUUGAAUUUCUGUUAAAAAUAACCGGUCUGCUUUUUUUAUUAAAAGUUGUAUCAUUUUGGUGUGUUUUUAACAAUAAUAAUGUCCUUUGAAAAUGUUUUUUACUUUAUUGUAAUAAGUCAUUGUUUUGAGGAUUUUUACUUUGAGAAAAUUAGAGUGUUUUUAGCAGGCUUUUACGCUUUUGAAUACUGCAGCAUGGAAUAAUAAGAUAGGAUUUUAGUUCUACAUUAUUGGUUUUAAGAACUAAAUUAAUGAUUGAUAGGGAUAGUUGGGGGCAUUUGUAUUUAACUGUCAGAGGUGAAAUUCUUAGAUUUGUUAAAGACAAACUACUGCGAAAGCAUUUGCCAAAGAUGUUUUCAUUAAUCAAGAACGAAAGUUAGGGGAUCGAAG